GAUGAACGCUGGCGGCGUGCCUAAUACAUGCAAGUCGAGCGAACGGACGAGAAGCUUGCUUCCCUGAUGUUAGCGGCGGACGGGUGAGUAACACGUGGAUAACCUACCUAUAAGACUGGGAUAACUUCGGGAAACCGGAGCUAAUACCGGAUCAUAUUUUGAACCGCAUGGUUCAAAAGUGAAAGACGGUCUUGCUGUCACUUAUAGAUGGAUCCGCGCUGCAUUAGCUAGUUGGUAAGGUAACGGCUUACCAAGGCGACGAUGCAUAGCCGACCUGAGAGGGUGAGCGGCCACACUGGAACUGAGACACGGUCCAGACUCCUACGGGAGGCAGCAGUGGGGAAUCUUCGGCAAUGGGCGAAAGCCUGACGGAGCAACGCCGCGUGAGUGAUGAAGGUCUUCGGGUCGUAAAACUCUGUUAUUAGGGAAGAACAUAUGUAUAAGUAACUGUGCACAUCUUGACGGUACCUAAUCAGAAAGCCACGGCUAACUACGUG
rnacentral:rRNA from 1 species